GUGUCACGCUGCUCACAGAAAAACCCAUAUUGCUAGCAGUCUGUGGGAAGAACAUAAAGACCUUCCUCCUCACCGUGAUUACUGCCGUCGCGUUGCUGGGUACAGAGAAACGGCUUCUCUCAGACAGAGUAGAACUGGGAAAGGUACGGACAAGGGCAGCAUUGCUGAUCGAAGGUGUGGAUGCCAUCUGUGCAAGAAACAAUGAAGCAAACCAGGACUCUUCAGCCUGGGGAAGAGGUGGCACAGAACAAGAGUGACAAGGAUGAGGUGAAGAGGGAUCAACUUCUAGUACAUGAGCUUAAAGUCAUGAGAAGAUUCUGCCACACAGUCAGUUCAAAACAAGCAAACCGAAGUAAUUCCUUAUACACGUGCAGAACGUAUUGCUGAAGGAAGCUACUGAUCCUAAAAAUUACCAUUGUAGUAAAGGUGCCUGCAAACUCCUGGAAGGAGAAUCUGUUGAGGGUGACUAGAUACUGAGCUGUGACCUCUGUUUCAGGAAGUCCCUGGCCUGUAAAACGUUGGAAGGGAAGGACAAACACUGCUUUCUGGCCCUUCUUUUUCCCUGAGCAUCUGUCCCUGGUCUAUGAGAGACAGACUAUUGGGCUAGGUGGAGUUUUGAUCUAUACGCCUUACACUGUGCAGGUAGAAAUUAUUCCUACAAGUUAGAGAGGUGUGUGCAUACAUGAAAAAUGGCAUAUGGAGGGACAGAGAAGCCACCCGCAGUGCAGGGAGGAAGGGAAGCAGAAAAAGGAAUAUCCAGGGAACAUUAGGACAUUGCAUGUUAUUGUUUUAUAAUCUUGAAUUUACAACUGAACAGUCUUCUACAUAUCAAAAAGGGGUUUUUGCAAUCAAUGGGAGUUGGUUUAGGCCCUCAGGGCAAAGCUUUCUUUCCCUCUCUUGUACAUUCCCACUGCAGAUAUGGUUUCCAGAUAGAAUUUAUUCUGAAGAGCAGAAAAGUCACUCUGUCGUGACUCAGGGUGCAUCUAUUUGUCAUUCUGUCUGUAUCUCUCACUAUCCUUUUCUUGUGCUUUCUCUGAUAAGGGACCUUGGUGACUGAAAUAUAGAUCAAAGCCCCAGCCUAAGGCUGGUCAAAAGAAAAGGAAAGAGGAAAGAAGGCAUUAAAAAAUAUAUCAUUGAGCUUAAAGGAUUCCUUCUUUUCUUAUUUUCUGCCCUUUCUAUUUGAAGAUUUUCUGUCUCAUCCUGCAUUUAACAUAUCUUACAGUAACUUUGAAAGAGAAGCAAAAGGGAGAGACUAAACAGAAGAUUAUUUUCCUUUAUUAUAUUGUAACUGUACUUAUUUUUAAACUUGAACUGUUUCAUUGUACAUUGGGAGAGAUAGUGACUUGUGCUUGAUCUGCCAUGUCUGUGCUACUCAUUAACCUUUUUAUGAUUGCUGACAUGAAUCCUCACAAAGCCAUGAGUCCAGUGACUUUGAUCCUCUGUGUUUGAUUACUUUGGUUCUAAUUACAUUUGUGUUGUUAUGUGUUAAUUGUGAGGAAAGAUACAUAAUUUAUCCUAUAAUAUGCCAUAGUACCUAUAUUUGAGAUGCAAGGUCUAGACCAAUUGAAAUGUCAUUUCAUACCACUGAUGUUGAAUACGUUAGAUAAAUGCUGUCUUGUCUCACAUACUGGAAGAGGGGACAAUUCUGGAUAUGAAUACAACUGGAAAGUUAUUUGUGUCCAAAUAAUCUGUCUUUUAGCACAAGCUAGUCUGUAAGAUCUCAAAGAUUUAUAUAAAGAGUUCUGUUUCAUUUAUUAAAUAAAUAUACUGUAUAACUGCAAA